rnacentral:rRNA from 1 species
ACUCAAAUGAAUUGACGGGGGCCCGCACAAGCGGUGGAGCAUGUGGUUUAAUUCGACGCAACGCGCAGAACCUUACCAGCCCUUGACAUGGCGGCUGCGCCCCGGUGAGAGCCGGGGUUCCCUUCGGGGGGCCGUCACAGGUGCUGCAUGGCUGUCGUCAGCUCGUGUCGUGAGAUGUUGGGUUAAGUCCCGCAACGAGCGCAACCCUUAUCUCUAGUUGCCAGCGGGUUGGGCCGGGCACUCUAGAGAGACCGCCGGUGACAAGCCGGAGGAAGGUGGGGAUGACGUCAAGUCCUCAUGGCCCUUAUGGGCUGGGCUACACACGUGCUACAAUGGCGGUGACAGUGGGCAGCGAAGGAGCGAUCCGGAGCUAAUCCCAAAAAGCCGUCUCAGUUCGGAUCGCAGGCUGCAACUCGCCUGCGUGAAGGUGGAAUCGCUAGUAAUCGUGGAUCAGCACGCCACGGUGAAUACGUUCCCGGGCCUUGCACACACCGCCCGU